CAUUCCUCUUUGCUGACGGCACCGCAUGAGCAAAAGGACAAAUACCGUCCUCCGGUCAAAACGGGGCACGUCAAGCUUCCGUAAGGGACAAUUGAUUCGGAAAAAAGGGACAAGGACCCCGACCGAUCAUUGUUUCUACAUACAAGACUUCGAGCGAAAAUUGGGCGUACAAUGCCUGCUAGCUAAAUAAGCAAAGCAAGGGCGAACGUCCACUAGUGCUUCAGGGUCUAACAUCGCACAAAACUUUUUGGCACGAGAUAGAGUAGGGACUGUGGGACUAGAGAAUUCCAUCAAAAUAGGUAUCCUGCACAGGGGGCCAGGCCAAUCCAAGGCAAAAGAUUUUGCACUCGAACAGAAUUGAACAGGUGUGAACCAGUGGUUGUCGCUGCCGAAGCAGGGAACCAACCAACCGGAACAAACCAAUCACUACUCAUGCGCUACACGUACAACAUGCCACCAUCACAGCUAGGUGCAAGCCCCCCAAAGACACGAAAGUCUAGGAGGACUUGCCCAUAACAAAUGAAGGCAACAAGCACCGCUUCGCGCGAAUCCGAACACACGGGGACAUUUAUCAAAGCAACGCGUUUCACAACCGGGACAAAGUGCACCUAUUCCCUCAAGAAGCUCUUGGCUAGCCCGAGAUCGAAAAACGAUUACAACCGAACAGCCCCCGCCCAACCGGCACAUCAGUUCAUAACCGACAAAGAACCAGCAA
rnacentral:misc_RNA from 1 species